rnacentral:rRNA from 1 species
CCUGAGAAACGGCUACCACAUCCAAGGAAGGCAGCAGGCGCGCAAAUUACCCACUCCCGGAACGGGGAGGUAGUGACGAAAAAUAACGAUACGGGACUCAUCCGAGGCCCCGUAAUCGGAAUGAUUACACUUUAAAUCCUUUAAAGAGAAUCUAUUGGAGGGCAAGUCUGGUGCCAGCAGCCGCGGUAAUUCCAGCUCCAAUAGCGUAUAUUAAAGUUGUUGCGGUUAAAAAGCUCGUAGUUGGAUCUGGGUCUCGGACGGUCGGUUCGCCGCCCGGCGUUUAACUGACCGGUCCGGACGUCCUGCCGGUUUUCCUUCCUCGGUGCUCUUCAUUGAGUGUCUUGGUGGGGCCGCACGUUUACUUUGAACAAAUUAGAGUGCUYAAAGCAGGCAGUGUCGCCUGAAUGUUCGGUGCAUGGAAUAAUAGAAUAGGACCUCGGUUCUAUUUUGUUGGUUUUCGGAACUUGAGGUAAUGAUUAACAGGGACAGUCGGGGGCAUUAGUAUUGCGCCGUUAGAGGUGAAAUUCUUGGACCGUCGCAAGACUAACCGAUGCGAAAGCAUUUGCCAAGAAUGUUUUCAUUAAUCAAGAACGAAAGUUAGAGGUUCGAAGGCGAUCAGAUACCGCCCUAGUUCUAACCAUAAACGAUGCCAUCUAGCGAUCCGCCGAAGUUCCUCCAAUGACUCGGCGGGCAGCUUCCGGGAAACCAAAGAUUUUGGGUUCCGGGGGAAGUAUGGUUGCAAAGCUGAAACUUAAAGGAAUUGACGGAAGGGCACCACCAGGAGUGGAUCCUGCGGCUUAACUUGACUCAACACGGGAAAACUUACCAGGCCCAGACACUGGAAGGAUUGACAGAUUGAGAGCUCUUUCUUGAUUCAGUGGGUGGUGGUGCAUGGCCGUUUUUAGUUGGUGGAGCGAUUUGUCUGGUUAAUUUCCGAUAACGAACGAGACUC